UUUAAGUGUUAGCAGCCAAGAGAACAGCAUCUUUCAGGAUAGAGGUUGCACCUUUCUUGGGCUGUCACCAGUUGUUGGAAAGCCUUCUGUAAGGAGGCUUUCCCUCCCUCCCAGUCCCAUCAGAGACUGUUCAACCAGGAAAUGCAGCUGCAGAUUCUUCACAGUUUCUUUAGGACAAUUUUUAAAGGAAAAUCCCCUCAUUUUCUUGAAGCAAACUACAUUGCAAGCAAAAGUACAUCAAAGCAACGAUGCCAUAACCACUUAGGAGAAAGUGUCUUCAUGGCUUCAGAAUUAGAGUAACCACUCUUCCAUGUUGCUUAUCUGUGGCUCUACUGGGGAGACUCUACAGUUUCUGUGAAAAGAGGACAUCUACAGGGAACAUUUCACACCUCAGCAUGAGUGGGCCUGGGAUCUUUAGAUAUCUCAUUUUGCUGCCAUGUCAGAGGAAGAAGAUAACUUGGGAUUUUACUUGCAGAGAGGUCGUUGCUUCUUCCUAAAAUGGACUCUAACAUCAUUUGUUACUUUAUGAUUUUCUGUCAGUCCUCAGCUUAGUGUAUAAAGUUCAAGCAGUGAUUAAGCUUAUAAACAAGAUGGGCAGCUGUAUGAAAAAUAUCUUACCUGUGCUGGUGUGGAGGAGAGGGCAGCUUGUUUUGAUAACUGUUGAUUACACUGAAUUGCACUGAUGUACCCCAAGGCAUAUGUGGGACUUCAUUUUUGUAUCAUUCAAAAGAGGUUGAGUUACCCUGAAGAACAGCUAAUUUUAAUGUGAUAUAUAGAACUAAAUAAUAUUCCCUUAAUGACACAUAGUUUUUACAGUUAUUUAGUUAUCAGGAAAAAAAAUGUAAAGGAAUAGCAGAACAGUUUCCACUUCAUUCUAACCUGGAUACAUUUAUAUGUAAAGCUGUUAUUUGUGCCUAUCUUGAGCAGCUGUUGAGUCAUUUUCAGAACCACAAGCUGUGAGUAAUGGGUGUCUAAGAUCAGAAUCACUGUGCCUCUUCUUUCCCUCACUUGUGUUUCCUUUAGCCAAAGGUAAAUUUAUUUAUUUUGUUGAACUAUUUGAUGAGUGGCAAGCUAACUCAUUUCUGUAAGUGACUAUUUUUCCUUACGUGUGGAUUUUAAUAUUUUAAUCUCCUUAUUUGGAAGUCUCCCACUUGAUUAAUGCAUCUGAUUAUUACUAUGAGAGAACUAUCUUUGCUCCAACCCAUCAUUUAUGAAGAAUAUUCCCGAGAAACCUCAGCUUUUCAGUUAUGGCAAGCUGUCCAGCUUCUAUGACUUAUUGCUAACUGAAUACUUCUGCUGGGGUGACACGAAGAAAUAAACCUCAAACCUUCAAAAGGAGUAAAUUAUUUUACUACCUGCCAGCUGGAUGUCAAUAAUCAGACACACGCAUACAGCACUAUAAUUUCACAACACUAAGGUCAGUAAGUAAGAUCGUGACAGAAUUUCAGGCAAAAAUAAAAGGAGAAAGUAUACAUAUAAAAAGAUGAAGAUAAAUAUAUUUAUAUAAAUAUAUGUAUUAUAUUUACCUUUAAGUUCCAGAUUCUAGUAACAAUUAAAUUGUUGGAUUCAAUUGCAUAAUGUUCAAAUAAAAAUUAUGGGAAUGACCAGAAAUCUAAAAAGCGUAAUACGUAGGGAAGGGUUGAUUAAAUGGGUCUAAAAGAAAAGAAGAUGUGUACCUUAUAACAGCGAAAAGGUGGACAGUUAAUAUGAAGUUAAAGUGAACAAAUUGUUCUUCAUAACCAUGGCAGUCAGGGCAAGACCUAAUGCAAUUUUAAUUACAACAACAAAGUUUAUAAUUGAACCUUAAGAAAAGUUCAUGGCAAUAAAACUAGUGAAGCACAGAAGAUGUGUUCUCAGUUGCUUACAGAGUUUUCUCCCACCUCCAUAAAAGGUUUUAAAAACAGACUAGGAAAGCAGCUGUCAGACAAUAUAUAAAUAUGGUUUGUUUUAACUUGGGAAAAUGCAUCUCGUAUAAGUCUCUCGAGGUCCUUUCUGAAUGGAAGAAUCCAUGACUGCGCAUGUAACAGAAGCAGAACAUAGGCCAUGCUACGUAAGGAGCACUAAUUGCCACAACAAACAUGAAUCCUCUGAUAGUUCUUCAACUGAACUUUGACAACCCGACAUACGUGUUACUCACAUUGUUGGGCCGUCUCCAACUCCUUCCAACAAUUUGAAGCUAAAAACAAGAGACUUAGGGGAGGCUAAGAAAAAAAAAAAGUUAAAUUUUCUUCGUAAUUGUGGUAUGGCUGCUGCCUUGACAAUCAAAUAAAAGUAUAAGAUUUGUAGGAGGAAUUUUGUUGUGCAAGCUGAAGCUUUAAGAAAGAAGACAAGGAUGUGGUCAUGCAAGAAGGAAUAUGAGCAUUGCACAUAUAUUUUUCCCUAAUAUGCUUUAGUUAAAAAUAUUGUCUCUUCCCACAAAACUUGUUCUCUUUCUUUACAAAUAUUUACAACACAAAAACAUUUCAAGCAUAGAACAAAACUGUAUUGAUUAUUUUUAUGAAUUCACUAACUCAUAAAUGUUGAACUUGUUUUAGCUGAGUUGUAACAAUUUUUGUCUAACUACCUUAUUUUUCCAUAUAACGUUAAUAAUAGAGAUUAAGGACAAAGGAAUGGGGAUGAUCAGGCACUGAAACAGGUUGUCCAAGGAACAUGUGAAGUCUCCACCCCUGGAGAUACUCACAACUCAACUAUACUCAAACCUGCUAUUGCUAACCUUGGUUUGAACAGUGUCCGAGAUCUCUCCUAAGAUCAGCUAUGAUGUGAUUUUGUAAUUAGUAGAAAAAUAUAGGCAAUUUCCUGAGCACUGUGGUGUGAUUUUUUUUUUCUGUAUAAACA